CACGGCCACCUUCCCCCGUCUCCUGAGCCUUCAACAUCGGCUGCAGGACGUGGCCUCUAUGGGUCCCAAACUCCUUCCUCUCCCUCCCACUCCUCCCAACCUGCAGAGACCCGACC